rnacentral:rRNA from 1 species
CGGCUAGGGGGAGGCUACCAUGCAGUCGAGCGGUAACAUUUCUAGCUUGCUACUUUGCUGACGAGCGGCAGACGGGUGAGUAGUGCUUGGGAUGUGCCUUGGGGUGGGGGACAACAGGUGGAAACGAGUGCUAAUACCGCAUAGUGUCUACGGACCAAGGGGGGCUUCCGCUCUCCCCUUUAUAUUGCCCCAAGUGGGAUUCUCUAUGUGGUGAGGUAGUGUCUCACCAGGGCGAAGAUCCCUAUGUGGUUUGAGAAGAUGAUCACCCACACUGGGACUGAGACACGCCCCACACUCCCACGAGAGGCAACAGUGGAGAAUAUUGCACUGUGGGCGCAACCGUGAUGCACCCGUGCCGCGUGUGAGAAAAGGGCCUUCGGGUUGAAAAGCUCUUUCACUCGAGAAGAAAGGUUAAUAUUUAAUACCUGCUAUCUGUGACGUUACUGACAAAAAAAGCACCGUCUAACUCCGUGCCAACACCCGCGGUAAUACAGAGGGUGCGAGCGUUAAUCAAAUUUACUGGGCGUAAAGCAUACGCACGCGUUUUGUUAAGCGAUAUGUGAAACCCCCGGUCUCACUCUGAGAACUGCAUUUCAAACUGGCAAACUAGAGUGUGAUAGAGGGUGGUAGAAUUUCGUGUGUAGCGGAGAAAUGCAUAGAGAUCUGAAAGAAUACCGAUGGCGAGCGCACCCACCUGGCUCCACACUGACUCUCAUGUACGAAAGCGUGGAGAGCAAACGAGAUUAUAUCCCCUGGGACUCACCU